rnacentral:rRNA from 1 species
UACGUAGGGAGCGAGCGUUGUCCGGAUUUAUUGGGCGUAAAGAGCUCGUAGGCGGCUUGGUAAGUCGGAUGUGAAAGCUCUGGGCUCAACUCAGAGAUGCCAUCCGAUACUGCUAUGGCUUGAGUCCGGUAGGGGCCCACGGAAUUCCUGGUGUAGCGGUGAAGUGCGCAGAUAUCAGGAGGAACACCGGUGGCGAAGGCGGUGGGCUGGGCCGGUACUGACGCUGAGGAGCGAAAGCGUGGGGAGCGAACAGG